rnacentral:lncRNA from 1 species
GUAGCUACAGGCUUUACCUUUCUUGCCACAGUUUUAUAUUUAGUUUGUACUCUAGCCUCAUGCUUCAACCCAUAGUUUGUAGCAAGUCCACCAUUUGCUACCAUCCUUUCUAAUCCUUCAUAAGUCCUUCUUGAAUAUAUUUCUACUAUAGCAUCUCCAUCUAUGUUUAUAGCUAGAUUCUCCAAAACCUUUAUCAAAUCAUCUUCCAAACCUAUUUCUUCUAUUACUCUAACUAUGGCUUCAUCACUUGAAACUAAACCCACUCUUUUUAAGUUCUUCUCUUGUUUCUUUACCUUUUUUUAUUUAUAGAAUCUAAAUCUUUAAUCUUUUGAAUACUCACAAAUCCAUUACUAGAUAAGUUCAAAAAUCCAAAACUCAUACUAUCUACACUGGGGUUUGUAGAUGAAUCAUUUGCACCCAUGUGCCCCCAUCUUACAAGGGUGCUUUUUAGAAAUCCACAAAGUUAUUUCCUGGCUCCAAGGGCAUCCCUCUUAAUUGUUCUCUGUGUCUCUCAUGGAUAGGUUUCACAGUAAUAAAUUGCACAGCUUUUCUGCCAUCCCAACUCCGAAUUCUGGUAUAAUGUAAACCAUCAUUCAAGACUCUAGUCUCCAUUCUAGCAGCUGUAAUAUAAGGUUGACCAAGUAUUACCGGAUAUGUAGCAGAGUUUUGCACAAAGAAAUUUUGCUCCACUUCUACAUCUCGAAUUCUAGUCUUU